GGUAUCUGUCACAUUGUGGGUGCUGAGGAAUGUUUCAAUGAUUUCAUUAAUGAUACUGCUUUGUUUCACAUGCACAGCUAGCACAGAUACUAAAGAGGUAUCGCUCUAAGGAGACUUCACACAUUCUGCUAAUGCAAAAGAGGAGAUUAAAGCCCAAUGGGGAGAAACUGGACUGCAUCUCAACCAUGCAACUGGUCUAUGAAUUUGACCUUUCAACAACCUGCUGACCGAGGAUUCCCCAGGAGCCUCAGAUCAAGGAAAUAACAUCCCCCCAGAAGAGAGAAUAAAAACAGAAUUAAAAAAGAAAGAAAGAAAGAAAGAAAGCAAGCUUGAUACCCGGCUAUGCUGGUAUCUUUCUAAAGCACUAAC
rnacentral:lncRNA from 1 species